rnacentral:rRNA from 1 species
CCCUUAGAUGCUCUGGGCCGCACGCGCGCUACACUGGUCGAUGCAACGAGUUUCUUUCCUUGGCCGACAGGCCUGGGCAAUCUUUGAACAUCGAUCGUGAUCGGGAUAGAUUAUUGCAAUUAUUAAUCUUCAACGAGGAAUGCCUAGUAAGCGCAAGUCAUCAGCUUGCGUUGAUUACGUCCCUGCCCUUUGUACACACCGCCCGUCGCUCCUACCGAUUGAAUGGUCCGGUGAAGCGUUCGGACCGUGGCCUUUGGACGGUUCGCCGUCUGUUGGCUGCGGGAAGUUCGUUAAACCUUAUCAUUUAGAGGAAGGAGAAGUCGUANCA